UACUGUAACCUCCGCAGGCCCUGUACGUGCUGUGCAAACAGGCUUUCUAGAUUAAAUUGCUCAUUCUUAAUCUACCACCUAAUGCUGAUGGAUUAAAUGGGAGAAGUUUCAUGAGGAGGAGAAGGCAAAUGUUCCAGACAGAAGAGGCAGCAUGGAAGAAUGUCAGGAAACAAAUGUUGUGACGUCAGAUGGUGGAGUCUGGUUCACAUCCCCGCCCCAAUCUGUAGGACAAGACUUUGUUUCAGUUACUGUGGAGCAAAAGGGAUGAGAAAUGUUUUAAGAGAUUCUGUGAUGCAGUUUUAGUGCUCAUUUGGGUGUAUAGAGACAAUUUCAUGGUUCAAAGGAUUACAAGCUCAUCUUGGUCUGCAGUCUCUAAGACGGAAAAUCUAAGUCAAGAAAAAUCCAAGAUAAUUUUAGACUUCUUUUCUGAGGCAGCUUUGUGAGUGGGUUGAAAAUCCAACUUUCUAGUUUAAUGA